CGUGUGUUCCAAUCUUGACCUCUGUUUCUCUCUCUCGCCGUCGUGAAUCGCUCCGGGGUUUCCAGCUACCAGAAUGCUUCUGCAUCUUCGUGAGUCCUCCGUCUCCGUCUAUUCUCCAUUGCGAGUCCUCUCCUUCGAAUGCUCCUGCAUCUUCGUGAAUCAUCUCCGUCAAGCGCUUCGGCAACAUCGUGAAUCAUCGUUAUCGACUGUGUCACAUCCAUUCGUUCAUCUCAAUUCUAGGAGUUGAUAAAUAGUAGAUUCGAUGUUGAUGGUGAUGAGGUUAUCUAGACAAAACAGAGGACAGAAGGAAAAGAUGAUUGAAGACUUGAUCCUUACAUAAUCCAGUUAUGAGAUGACAAGAGGUAAAUAAAACCUAAUAUUUUCAAAAGUUUAUUAUAAUCUGUGUGGAAACUCAUUUCCAAAGUUUAUUAUAUUCGGUAUAUAAAUUCGUGAAACAUAACUUUUAUUGUUGUUUAUCCUAUCUCUAUAUAUGAAACUUUUAGAUUGUCACUUCCAAUUUUCAAGAGACUGGAUACAGUGAUAUUUGCUAUUAAUUUGGUUCAUGAAAUGUGUUGAUAUGGUUAUCUUAUGUUUGUUAAUUGCCUUCCAGUUUCAGCAAUGCAGGUUAUUUAUCAGGGAUUAGUUGUUGAUAGGUAACAUAUCAUUAGGUUAUUUGUUGAUUAGUUUUUAAUUAAUUCGGCUAUUUAAUUAACCUAAAGCGACAUGCUACUGUAUUUGCAGAUCGAUCACUUUCGUUAGUCAGGAGACUACGCUCUUCAGUUGUGAUGUAUGCUUGAUUUUUGAAGACUGUAACAUCAGUUUUGAUAGGAACCAAGUUUGAUGAUUUCAUUCAGCUCCAUAUUGAUGCAAAUCUGGCCCUAGCACAAGGGGUUUGUUUGAAUUUCUUAUAAUUUAUUUAAUUUCGGUUCUUAUUUCUCAAGGCAUUCUCACUAACUAAAAUGGUAUUCGACUAAUUCAAAUGUUUUUGUAUGGUUUGAAGUUCAAUAAUUAGUUUUGGAAUACUUAUAUCUGCAAAAAAUGUGCACACAUUCGCAACAGUUCAUUUUAAUCAUCAGUAUGAAAGGUUUAAAUUCUGAAAGAUCACUUUGUGAGUGAAACCAUACAAAUUUUGAAAGGGCUAAGAGAGCGCUAUGAGAUUCACCACAAGCUCCGUUAUACCGAUGAUGCUUGUGUAGCUGCUGCAGAGCUCUCACAUCAAUAUAUCAGUUAUGGAAGUUAUUUCUAAUCAUAGGUGCUCAAAUACUUGCCCAGCAACAAGCGAUUUAUUUUCAUUUGUAUUGUCACUAUCAUUUCUUUCCCUAUUACUUUUCCUACUAGUUAAACAAUGUCUUUGAUUCUGCAGGAAUCUAGAAAACAACAAACUACAAGGUCUACUUCAUGAUAGUGAAAUGGAUAACACAUCAUCCAAGAGUAGCUCAUCUUUGCAAAAGCAGUUAAUGGUGGGUUUACUACAUCCCAAGGCAUACAAGCCAUCAGGAUAUGUAAAAGUGAAGGAGGAUAUAACAUUCUAUUAUAGCUGCUGUUAAGAAUUUGUAAAUUCACUAUUUCUGACAGUAGUUUCAGUGCCUCUUCACACACCGACACAGAGGUUAAUUACUGAACAAUAUAGCGGAAAUAUUGAGUUACAACAACCGAGUCCCGUAUCAGUUCUUGACUCGCAGUUUUACAAAGACGACUCGUCGUGUUCACCAUCUCCAAUAAUGAAAAGAUGCAUUGAAUAUAAAGGUCAGUAUUUUUGUUUUGUUCUUACAUGCAUAAGUCGUAAUCAUUGCUUCCUCGACGUUAAGGUCAUUGCUUUAUUUACUAGUGAGAGAGUUAAUAUUAGGUGAGAGAGUUGAUAGUUAAGUUUUAG